CCUCUGUAUACCUUCAUCAUGACUAUAUCCCUCUGUAUACCUUCAUCAUGACUAGAUCCCUCUGACACUGAAGGCCUGAAAACACAACUUGUCUGUAAUGCAUUUUGUGACAUGGAAGUGCCCACUCUGCAGAAUCUUGGUUUAGUGCACAGGCAUAAUAAUGUUGGUUAAGCAAAGUUUGCUCGAUAGAUGCUGCCAGAAGUGAAAUAUGUUUUUAGGAGCUGGUCCAUCAUCAGUACGUCAUACAAAAACGUGUUGGGAGGAAGCGGGAAUGAGAGAAAUCCUGUUGCUGUCGAACGGCCAGGGCCCAGGAACAGUAUACAGGAUACAGACCGAGAUGAUGAGCUGACCAUCACAGACAAGAUAGCGUUGGAUUAAACAACGGCCUGUGGUGACCUGACAACGUUGAUGAGGUCAAGCCUGCUCCGGAAGAGAUGUUCUGCUGACCAAGUGAGAAGCAAGUUUUCCCUGCUAUGAUUUAAGUCAUUACCCAUAGUACCGGCGCUGCAAACAGGGUGGUUGAUUUCCGUUUGUGUCUUGGCUUCUGUCCAGAGCCUAGACUGACUCACCGGAUCUAACAUUCCCACCUCCUCCAGACAUCCAAUUCCUGGGGCACUUUGGCCGACGAUACAUCCGGCCUGUGGUGACCUGACAACGUUGAUGAGGUCAAGCCUGCUCCAGAAGAGAUGUUCUGCUGACCAAGUGAGAAGCAAGUUUUCCCUGUUAUGAUUUAAGUCAUUACCCAUAGUGUAGGUCGUACUUUAAGUUGGCUUAUUAGAUGGUGUGAAUCAGCAGAGAGAAACUAACACUGGUGAGAGCUGUGAUUGUAACAUCUUGAGACAUGUUCUAUGACUGCUGAAUAAACAUCGGAUUCAUUCUUUCACCUGUGUAAAUCUACAUGAACAUCUAUUAGCCUAACGGUUAAAAAUAUGUUCAUCUAACAGACCGGCGCUGCAAACAGUCUAGGCUUCCGUCCAGAGCCUAGACUGACUCACCGGAUCUAACAUUCCCACCUCCUCCAGACAUCCAAUUCCUGGGGCUGUUGGGUGUAUCAGUGUUAUUCACUUCACCUGUCAGUGGUCAUAAUGUUAUGGCUGAUGGGUGUAUCAGUGUUAUUCACUUCUCCUGUCAGUGGUCAUAAUGUUAUGGCUGAUGGGUGUAUCAGUGUUAUUCACUUCUCCUGUC
ensembl:lncRNA